CAGAGGUGUCAAGCUGCCAGUGUUGAUUCAAAUGAAAAUGAUAAUGUUGAAGAAGGAGGCUGCAAAAGUUCCUAAGCAACCUGACGGGAUAUACCUUGUAAAAUGCUUUCAAAAAAGCUUCAAAGGGCAGCUAAUAAAUGAAUAUACUGACAGGGUUUAAUCGCUUCUCCUCUCUCCUAGUAACAGGAAUUAAAGGCCACAGGUGGUUCUGGGUUGGAGGCAGGACCCAAAAGUAAAUGCAGCAUUCAGAGCUGCACAGGCCCAGUCAGAGCAGCUGCCACUUCAGGCACUUACAGUGGUCACCCAGGAUUCAGGAGAUGCAUAUUAUAAGUAACUCAGUUCUGUAAGAGCUAGGAGUUAGUUCACACUGCUUGGGCUCUCACUAAGUAAGCCUGUGCAAUGCAGGCAGGAAGGGAGAAAAUGCUUACAAAAAAGAAAUGAGUAGAUUCUUGCCUUAGGAAAGUCAACGGGAUACAAUUCCUGAUGGAAGAGCAGUUGCUAUUCUAAGAGCUAAUUAACAAGAAACAAUGCUGCAAAAAACUUGGGAGACAGGACGGCAGAACACACCCAGAUGGCCUGUGGGAAAUUCCCAGGCCUGCCAAUGAUGUGAGAGAGGACAUCUUGUGAAUGGGUGGGUACAGCCUGUUCUUCUGGGCAAGACAAACAGUGCAGGACUCUAUAUGCCAGGGUGGCUGAAGCCCCAGUGUCCAAGAGGCUUGCCCAUUCCUCCCUGCCCCUGGCACUGAACCCAAGCUUCCAUGGGGCACUGUGGAAGAGGCCUUGCCUGACGACAAGUAGACCAAACACGACCGUCCGUCCUCUAAAAACUGCACCCUUGGAAUUGGGGACAGGCAGAAUAACCCUUUCACUAGCUUGAUACUUAGCCUCUUGGGGUUCUGAUAAAUCCUUUUGAAUAACCAAGCAGUUUUGUUUUUAAUACCUUGGCCUGAGCCCUUUAGAUGCAGCCAUCCUCAACUUACAAAAAAAACAAACCAAAAGAAAAAACAAAACACACACACACACAAACAAACUUUGAUUCAAUUGACAAAGGUUUUCAAGGUGUCUACUACAUGUAAGGCAGCACACUAGGGGUUUCUUGGGGAUACGCAGAUGACAAAGACAGUGUCUCUUCAUCCAGGAGCUAAUCAAGAGAAGGGGGAAGAAUCAAGCAAACUUCAUAAUACACAGCCGGAUGAAAUGAAAAGAGACUUAGAUCAAGUGCUGUGAGAGCUUGGAAGAGGCACGGGGCAAAUAACACUGGGGCUGGUGGUGGGAAGGCAAGUGACAGCCUCGUGGAAGAGGUGGCAUUUGACCAGAGAUGAGGACGAACAGAAUUAACAUAGUAGGCAUGAAGGAAGAAAAUGCGCCUGAGGACACAGCCAGCACAAAUGCAGAGGCAUACAAGUGCCUGGUACAGCUGGCAUGCAGGGAUGGCUGAGGAACUGCGGGGGCAGCCGGUGGGAUCCAUCCGAGGUAAAGGUUAGAGGCAAGUCUCGGAGAUGGAAACCCAAGGUCAUGCAGUUGUGCCAAUGCCCGUUGUUAGACAACAUGCUUCUAUUCCUGACAAACCAGUCUCAAGCAGCUCUGACUGAUGGGGCGGAUUUCAAUGCUCUCCAAUGACUUCCAAGUGUUAAGAAAAAGCUGCUGCUACCCUACAUGCCCAAGCUAUACGAACUACUUUUUUCCAGGUAUGAUUCCCCAAAUGUAGCUACUGAAGAGAAGUGAGUGCUGAACAAAGAUUCUCUAGUGGGGACUA
rnacentral:lncRNA from 1 species